rnacentral:pre_miRNA from 1 species
UGUGUACUCCCUCCGUUCCAAAAUACUUGACUUCCAUUUGUCCAAAAAUGGAUGUACCUAUAUACUAAAUCAUGUCUAGAUACAUAUAUUUUGACAAAUAGAAGGCAUGUAUUGUGGAACGGAGGGAGUAGAAU